AUGUGGUGCAAUGGGGCACACCCUGCGUCUCGCACAUGCUCGGUUAUUUCGUUCUACUCGCCUUGCACCAAUAAUUUGAUGGAGCUCGCUCUGCACAUUUGUUUUUGUUUUUGUUUUUGGAGCAGAAGCUUUACUCUCUGCAGCUGCUAGAUCUGGUUUCUCCUUCCUCUGGAGCUGUGAAGCAAAGCUAAUGUUCGAUCGAUCCUCUUCUUCCUGUCCUUGCUGAUCGAUCCAUCGGCGCAGCGCCAUGCCGGCCACCGCCUUAACUGUUACCGGGUGGGGGCUGUCGCCGGUCAUCAAGGAGCUCGCAGAGGUGACGAAAUCCUUCCUGUAUGGCCGGUAUAGAAGCUUCAAGCGUUUCGUCGAUGAGCGUGCUCAGCUGGAGGAGAUCGUGAAGAAAGCCGAGCCCAUCCUGGAGAGACGGCGCGGCGUCCACGACGACGAGACGACGCGUGAGCUCAUAGAUGCCAUCGACGAGGUGAAGGGCGUCCUGGAUGCCUUUCUCUACCAGGACAUCCUCCUGGCCAACUUGGCAGCGAAGCACAACAAGCUCACACAAUUCGCCUACUCCGCGAGGAGAGCCGGCCGGCAGCUGGUCUACAAGGACGAGCCGUUCAGACGGCUCGAGAAGGUGCUGAAGAAGCUGCCCGCAAUUGAUCAGAAAUUGCAGCUUUUUGUUGGAGAAGGUGCUGGAGAAGCCGCCUGCGAGCCAAUGGAGAAGAAGGCGACGGGCCCGCUGCCGUUGCCGGGGGAUAAGCUCUUCGUUGGGUACACCAAGGAGUAUGAUCAGCUGAUGUCAGCCUUGCUCAACGACCAGCCCAGCAGCAGCAACAACCGCCGCAACAUGGAUGUGGUAGCCGUGGUCGGCCCCGGCGGCUCCGGGACGACCACGAUGGCUCGGCGGGCAAUUAACGACCACAGAGUGGCGGAACAAUUCGAUUUGAAGGUAUGGGUGCAUGUUUCAAACACGUUCCUCAACACCCACCUGUUAGCAAAGAUCUGCAAGUCCAUGGAAGGAACCACAUGCCAAGCAGAAGCCGGGAUGCUGUUCAGCAAUCUCCAGCAGAUCGUUCGUGAAAGGUUCAGCUCCAAGAAGUUCCUGCUUGUGCUUGAUGACGUGUGCAACAAUGAAUCAGACAAUGACAUGGGGGACAAGAUGAAGACGAUGUGGGGGGACGUGCUAGCCUCAUUCGAAGGCGGAAAGCCAGGGAGCAGGAUCCUGAUGACGAGCCAAGCAAACAUGUGCGUCAGGGCGCUCGGCGCCGGGACAAGGAUCGUGCUGGACGGGAUCGGCGCCGCCGACCUCGCGCUGGUGCUGAAGCAAACGGCGUUCGGGGACGAGCAUGCAGAGACCCCGCUCCUCGACGAUGUUAUCCAAAGCGUCGCGGUGUGUCUCAGGGGCUCACCGUCGGCAGCGAAAGCUGCCGUCGGCAAGCUGACAGACAAGAGGAGCAAGAGCGGCUGGAAGGGCCUCUUAAAGCCGGGAUCAGGACACUCCGGCGCCGGCGAUGCAUGGAGCUACUGGAAUCUGUCGCCGCAGCUGAGAUCUUGCUUGGGAUUCUGCAGCAUGUUCCCGGACAAGUGGGAGUUCGAGCCUGAAACGCUCGUCAAGAUGUGGAUAGCAAAUGGCAUCAUCCGCGGCGACGACAACGGGAAUGUGGAGAUAGGGAAAAAGUACAUUAGAGAUCUACAGGCGAGGUCCUUGUUCAAAUCCAUCAAGGAAGACGGACGAACCUACUUUGUCCUUCCUGAGCUGGUCCAUUCGAUGCUCCUGUCACUGCCCACGAAGUAUUUCCACAGGUUUAGCCAUGAGGAUCUUACCAGCAGCCCUACAAUAGUCCCGGAAAGUGUUCGGCACCUAUCCCUGAUCGGUGGAGGAUGCCAUGCCCUGGCUAAGCUUAAGGAGAUGGAAAACCCUGUGCUUAACAAGUUGAAGACGUUAUUAGUCUUCGAGGGCUCCGCAAUUGACAAGGAAGUAACCGAGCAACUCAAGGCCGUCACUAUGCUGGACUUGGCUGGCACACAGAUCGUCGAUCUGCCAAAAGGCAUCGGCAAGUGUAAACAUCUGCGGUACCUAGGCCUCCCGGAUACCAUCAGGAGCCUUCCUGCCGCCGUUACAAAGCUGUUGCAUCUGCAGACUCUGUCCCUGGGCAAGAAAUGCACGCUUGAUCAGGGCUUCCCAGCUCAUGGCAUGUGCAGCUUGAUCAAUCUGAGGCACCUCGACAUGCCCGUCAAGUACAUUGGCAUGAUAAGUCACCUUGGAAGGCUGAAGCAACUCCAGGGGUCAAUCGAGUUGUGCGCUGACAAGGGACAGAGGCAUGUCAUCCUCCAAGAGCUUGCCGGCAUGAACUCCCUCCACGGCACCAUCACCGUGAAGGGGCUUCACGCGGUCGCCAGAAAGGAAGAAGCUCAGAAAGCCCGCCUUGAAAAGAAAGAGCAUGCUAAGGUCCUAAAGUUUGAAUGGUCGGGGGAACGAGCUUGCUCCAUCCGCUCACAGGAGCAAGUUUUUGAGGGGCUCCGGCCACCCCGUAACAUACAAGAGCUGCACAUCCGCAGGUACCAGGGCACAUCAUCGCCUAGCUGGCUGGAGGGCAACCACCUAAAAAACUUGAGUCAGCUGCAUCUCAUAAACUGCCCCAAUUGCAAGGUGCUUCCAUGUCUUAACCAGCUGCCUGACCUCAGGGUUCUGCACAUCAAAGAGAUGCGCUCCGUCAGUCGGAUUGACCGCAUGCUCUUGGGCGGCAGAGGCGGGGUUCUCCGGUCGCUGCAGAAACUUGAGCUGGAUGAUAUGCCCAAUCUGGCCGAGUGGAGCGUCGAUUCCACCGGCGACGCGUUCCCUCGCCUCCAAGAGGUACACAUCCUUAACUGCCCCAAACUGAAGCACCUGCCACGGAUCCCAUCCACCGUCAUCAACUUGAAGAUAGAGCACGAAAACUCUUACCUUCACAUGUACCCCUGCUCGAGGUCGACGUCGGCCUCUUUUGUUUUGGAAAUCCACGGGGAGGCGGUGGAGCGGCUGCAGCAAGAUUUCCUCCUCCAGGAUCCCGCCAGGGAUAACCACGCCCUGAGCAUUAAGAGCUACGCAGGGCCCGGUGAAGUAAGCAUCAACCUUCUCUCUUCUGCCAGAAGCCUUUCGUUGAGCCGAUGCGUCGUGACGGAUCGGCAGCUUGAGAUGUUCUUCCAGAAACUGCAGUCCCUCGAGAUGCUGGAGAUCUCUGAUUGCACCGAGUUCCGCGCGUUCCCGGACGACGCCGUACCAGCGACGCUGAAAUCUCUUAGGUUGAAAGGAUGCCACCCCACGCUUAUGGAGGAGCUACAUGAUAGGACAAGCCCUACGUGGGCAAGGAUUAACUCAAUCCCCAGAGUCAACAUUAUUGACUGAUUUUUCAAGGAUCACAUGUUCAUGCAUGUUCAGAUUAGUAAAAAAAAAAUCCCACAAGAAAUCACAGGAAAACCAAGAAAAGCUGAAGUGGGUGGCAAAGGUUCUAGAACAAACAGCAGAUGAAGUGUUCAAGGCAGUGCAAGGGUGGACUUUUGGUGUGCCUUGUAUCCAAGGUUGAGGAGAUCUGCUGCGGUGGAUGAUGCUUCUUCUACACGACGAUGAAGCUUCUGCUGUCCAGAAUGUCCUUGGUCUGCUGGAUGUCGAUUUUAUCGCUAUCUGAACUUGUUUCUUUCAGACUCCGUUGUCGAUUGUGAAACCUGGAACUAUGUAUGAUGUGCACAGCUGCGCCGUUGAGUUGCGCUGCUUUUGCUUCCUGUGCACCUGGUGUUAGCUGCCCAAUUGCCUUUGUUGGCUGUAGGGUGGGUUGAUGCUGGUUAGGUGCUCAGGUUAUCUAGCUCUUGAUAGGACUGAAUUUGUUUUCUCUU